AAAUUAGCAUGUAAUAGCGCAGCAGCGUGGAGUGGGCUUGAAAGAGGAUCCGGGAGGGGAAAAAAAAAAGGCGAGGGGUGGGGGGCGGAAAAGAAAAAAAAGAAAGAUCGCACUUGAACUGAGCGCGGGUCACGGGGGGUUCGCUGUCGGCGAUCCCCGCGUGUUCCCGCGGGCCGCGGGGCCGGGCGCGGCGCGCCGCCAGGCGGCGCUGUGGGAGCGGGAAUGCGCCGGGCCCGCGCCGCGACCCCCGCGGGCCGCCGGGAGCGCCCCCCGCCCCAGAAAUGAGCCAUUUACGGGGAUUUUGGCGUCUUCUUGCAAAUCAAAAAAAAAAAAAUGGUGCGAGGGAAACAAUACGGGUAUAUCUGGGCUGGAAGGCUCCUGGCGGGGCAGGCAGCGCUGAGCGAGCUCCCGACGGCUUCGGCCUCGCCGCGCCCCGGCUCCCCCGCGCCCGGCGCAGGGUGUCCCGUGCGGGGGCGGGCGAGGCUGCCGAGAGCGCUCGCCCUCUGCGCCCCGGGCCGCGCAGCAGCCAGGUGAAGAUGGCUAAUUAUGAACCACACAGACAGUGAAGACUGCACACUUCACCAAGAGACCAAGAUACAGGCUACAGUUUUUCACAAGGAGAAAGAAGAUAACGCUUCUUCUUCAUAAGAAGAAAAUGUAUAAAAAUCAGUCAUGGAUUUAGCAUGUGAAGCAAUGGCCUCCAUCAAUCCCUCUCCUGCAUCCCUGUGCUGUAGCUGUGGAACCUCAUCCAUUACUGCCAUGCUGUGGGUCCACCUUAGUCCCUCAACUCAGGGUGCUGGUUGGAGGGAGCUGGAUGCUGCAGAAAGCAAACAUAUCCUGGAGACCUGCCUAUGAAACACAGGACCUAGCACAGGCUGAGAGAUCAAACUGGUUCCCUUUGGACUGGGCAUACUUCUGAGGGGAAUGAAUUUGGUACAGAGGACUAAUUGAGUGAGUCACUGGUAAGACUUCAACGUUGUGAGUAGGAACAAAAAUCUCAGUGGAACAGUACAAUAAUUAUUUAAACUUUUUAAAUUAUAAUUUGUAAUGAAGAAAAAGAGAACCCUUCAUCCAAAGGAAAUUUUACAGCAUUGAUUGCUCUGACAUGAGCAGCAGACAAUAAGGGAGGUGCCAGCCCAGGAAAAUGUGUGUGGAGCCAUUGACACACAUGGAAAGAUAAAAACUAAAAAACCCAAGUGAACUCUCUGGCAUAACUGUAGACAAUAUUGCAGCUGAUGACAAUAAAGCUCCCACACUAAUACUUCAGUAGGAAAAGGUGCUAAUAAAGAGCUUAUUGAAAA